rnacentral:rRNA from 1 species
UCAGACGAUGCGUCAUGCAUAUCAAUAAGCGGAGGAAAAGAAACUAACAAGGAUUCCCCUAGUAGCGGCGAGUGAAGCGGGAAGAGCUCAAAUUUGAAAUCUUAAAGGGUUUCCCUUUACGAAUUGUAGUUUAAAGAAGUGUUUUCUGUUGAGGUUUUGGUAAAAGUUCUUUGGAAUAGGACAUCAUAGAGGGUGAGAAUCCCGUAUUUGACCUUUACUUUCAACUUUGUGAUACACUUUCAAAGAGUCGGAUUGUUUGGGAAUGCAGUCCAAAAUGGGUGGUAAAUUUCAUCUAAAGCUAAAUAUUGGCGAGAGACCGAUAGCGAACAAGUACCGUGAGGGAAAGAUGAAAAGAACUUUGAAAAGAGAGUUAAACAGUACGUGAAAUUGUCAAAAGGGAAGCGUUUGACACCAGUGUUGUUUUUCUGAAAAUCAAUUAAAGAACUGUUUAUGCUAAGCUGUUUAGACUUUAUCAGCUAUCUGUUUAGUUUUGAGCUUUUCUUUAAUGCACUUUUCAGUUAACAAGUCAACAUCAAUUUCUUUUGCUGUAAAAAAGCUUGAGGAAGGUGGCUUGAGAUUCGUCUUAAGUGUUUAUAGCCUCUUGCCUAUGCAGUCGGAGAGAUUGAGGUCUGCCAGCGUAGAUCCUUCGGGGCUAAAUGCAUUUGUGCUAAGUUAUAGCAUUUUAUAGACAACUUGUUGACUAUGAUUUGUCUUGUAGCUUACUCGCUUAUGUUAUUUUACCUACGCUUAGGAUGUUGACACACGCGCGUGCUC